CUGUGAUUGGUCAGAGUUGGCUGUGAUUGGUCAGAGUGUGCUGUGAUUGGUCAGAGUGGCUGUGAUUGGUUAGAGUGUGCUGUGAUUGGUCAGAGUGUUCUGUGAUUGGUCAGAGUGUGCUGUGAUUGGUCAGAGUGUUCUGUGAUUGGUCAGAGUGUGCUGUGAUUGGUCAGAGUGGCUGUGAUUGGUCAGAGUGUUCUGUGAUUGGUCAGAGUUGGCUGUGAUUGGUCAGAGUGGCUGUGAUUGGUCAGAGUGACUGUGAUUGGUCAGAGUGUUCUGUGAUUGGUCAGAGUGUGCUGUGAUUGGUCAGAGUGGCUGUGAUUGGUCAGAGUGGCUGUGAUUGGUCAGAGUGUGCUGUGAUUGGUCAGAGUGGCUGUGAUUGGUCAGAGUGUACUGUGAUUGGUCAGAGUGGCUGUGAUUGGUCAGAGUGACUGUGAUUGGUCAGAGUGGCUGUGAUUGGUCAGAGUGGCUGUGAUUGGUCAGAGUGUACUGUGAUUGGUCAGAGUGGCUGUGAUUGGUCAGAGUGUACUGUGAUUGGUCAGAGUGGCUGUGAUUGGUCAGAGUGUACUGUGAUUGGUCAGAGUGGCUGUGAUUGGUCAGAGUGACUGUGAUUGGUCAGAGUGUACUGUGAUUGGUCAGAGUGGCUGUGAUUGGUCAGAGUGACUGUGAUUGGUCAGAGUGUGCUGUGAUUGGUCAGAGUGGCUGUGAUUGGUCAGAGUGGCUGUGAUUGGUCAGAGUGUACUGUGAUUGGUCAGAGUGGCUGUGAUUGGUCAGAGUGUGCUGUGAUUGGUCAGAGUGACUGUGAUUGGUCAGAGUGUUCUGUGAUUGGUCAGAGUGUGCUGUGAUUGGUCAGAGUGACUGUGAUUGGUCAGAGUGUUCUGUGAUUGGUCAGAGUGUGCUGUGAUUGGUCAGAGUGUUCUGUGAUUGGUCAGAGUGUGCUGUGAUUGGUCAGAGUGUUCUGUGAUUGGUCAGAGUGUGCUGUGAUUGGUCAGAGUGUGCUGUGAUUGGUCAGAGUGUUCUGUGAUUGGUCAGAGUGACUGUG